UAGGGAAUCUUCCGCAAUGGACGAAAGUCUGACGGAGCAACGCCGCGUGAACGAAGAAGGCCUUCGGGUCGUAAAGUUCUGUUGUUAGGGAAGAACAAGUACCAGAGUAACUGCCGGUACCUUGACGGUACCUAACCAGAAAGCCACGGCUAACUACGUGCCAGCAGCCGCGGUAAUACGUAGGUGGCAAGCGUUGUCCGGAAUUAUUGGGCGUAAAGCGCGCGCAGGUGGUUCCUUAAGUCUGAUGUGAAAGCCCACGGCUCAACCGUGGAGGGUCAUUGGAAACUGGGGAACUUGAGUGCAGAAGAGGAAAGUGGAAUUCCAAGUGUAGCGGUGAAAUGCGUAGAGAUUUGGAGGAACACCAGUGGCGAAGGCGACUUUCUGGUCUGUAACUGACACUGAGGCGCGAAAGCGUGGGGAGCAAACAGGAUUAGAUAUCCUGGUAGUCCACGCCGUAAACGAUGAGUGCUAAGUGUUAGAGGGUUUCCGCCUUUAGUGCUGCAGCUAACGC
rnacentral:rRNA from 1 species